GAGGGUCUAGCUCAGUGGUAGAGAGCUUACUUAGCAUGUAUGAGGUCCUGGGUUCAAUCCCCAGUACCUCCA
rnacentral:tRNA from 1 species